GUGAGCUGAGAUCACGCCAUUGCACACCAGCCUGGGCAACAAGAGCGAAACUCUGUCUCAAAGAAAAAAAAGAAGUUUCUUCCCCAACCCAAGCCUAAGCCCAGUGGGCCAGAUGCUUCCAAGUCUACAUCCUGGGGAUCCUGCCACACGCUUCCACCUGGUGCAAUAGGACAGACCGUUGUGAGGAUGUGAGUGUGCACCAGGGCCGAGGAGAACGCUCUCCUGUCUCUAUGGAGCCUGAUCCCUGCUUCCAGGAGCUGCCAACACAUGCAGACCCAGGCUAGCCUUGGGAUGUCGAGGCCCUUGAAGCAGAGUUAGAAGAAUGAAAUGGGCUGCAUCGAUACAGGAGGUGCGAAGGGCUGAGAGGAUAAAGAGCAGAGGCAGCAGUGAGGAUGAGCCAUACCGCUGGGGACCUGGAUUGUCACAGGAAGAAGAAGGAAGGGAAGCGGGCCUGUUGUAGGUGCAUGUGUUCCUGAAGGAGAGGAGCCACGCUGGACAGGGGACCAAGGGCUUCUGACUGGUGAACCACCCACCCCACCCCAAGACCCCACCCAGGAGGACCCACUCAGCAGGUGGCAGUGGAGACAGAGGCCGCCUGGGGCAUGCUGGCCGGACAGGAGCUGUCCGUUCCCCAAAUGCUGCCCGACGCCUUCAGAUGGAGGAGCCCAGGCUGUGACAGCCAGGUGGCCCGCGGAGAACUGCUAGAAGG